rnacentral:rRNA from 1 species
GACGAACGCUGGCGGCGUGCUCAACACAUGCGAGUCGAACGAUGAAGCUGGAGCUUGCUCCGGUGGAUUAGUGGCGAACGGGUGAGUAACACGUGAGCAAUCUGCCCUUGACUCUGGGAUAACUGCGGGAAACUGCAGCUAAUACCGGAUACGAGGCUCGAAGGCAUCUUCGGGUCUGGAAAGAAUUUCGGUCAAGGAUGAGCUCGCGGCCUAUCAGCUUGUUGGUGAGGUAAUGGCUCACCAAGGCGACGACGGGUAGCCGGCCUGAGGGUGACCGGCCACACUGGGACUGAGACACGGCCCAGACUCCUACGGGAGGCAGCAGUGGGGAAUAUUGCACAAUGGGCGAAAGCCUGAUGCAGCAACGCCGCGUGAGGGAUGAAGGCCUUCGGGUUGUAAACCUCUUUUAGCAGGGAAGAAGCGAAAGUGACGGUACCUGCAGAAAAAGCACCGGCUAACUACGUGCCAGCCGCCGCCGUAA